GGCCGGAGCGGCAGGGCGGGGAGGGGAGAGCGGAGUUCCUGGAAGGAGCCGCUCGGCGCCGCCGCUGCACAACAUGGCCUCCUCCGCCUCCUCGUCUGCGGCCGGCGCCGAGGGCACCCCUCCUGCGCAGGGUGACUAUGGAUCCUACUAUUCGCAGAGCUCUAGAAAGAUUCCCUAGAACUCAAGUUAUGUGGAUACAGUGAAGGUCUCCUGUAAAGAAG
rnacentral:lncRNA from 1 species